ensembl:lncRNA
CCCCCCCACCCUUAUCCUUUUCAUCCCCACCUGAGCUCCCCUCCUCCUCUUCACUCUUUCUCUGUCACUCUUCCUCAAUCUAUCUCCCGUCUGCUCCGGCAUCUCGACAUCUGGGACCGGAGGCCAGCCCGUUCAGACAGGAAGGAGAAAUCCUGAUGGAUUACAGGCUGGGAGACGCUGCAGGAAUCUAAGUGGGGCGGGGGCUCGGGAUUAGCCUUCAGUGGGGUAAACUCAGGCACUGGCUCACGUCAAGGCACCUUGUCUAGCAUCGUCUACAUAACGGGCUCUAAUCCGACCCGCGAGCGACAGGCUACAGAGCCACGCUGUGUCGGCAGCCUGAGGCGGUGGGGAGAGAAAAACCGAGGCAUGACUAAGACCCACAGUGAGGCACUCAGACGGGCAUCCGAUCGCCACACCGCCCAUCCGGGCCCCUUCCUCCGGGCCCUUCCUCCAUGGCAGAUACCGAGCUAACGACACAACGCUCUGAACAUCGUCUGCACUCCCCGUGAUAGUCACCUCAAAUGAAACCCAGAUGGGGAGAUCUUUUAUUGAUUGCGGGGGAGCGAGCUACAGCAGCACGGUUUACACACACAUGGACAAAGCUUAGCCUCAUCAUGAUUAGACCACAGCGGAGGACACAGGGCUCGCCUUGUGGAUCUUGGAUCCCAGCAGUGAGAGAUCACUCUGCGGCCUUAGAUUGGACAUUUUCAUCGCUCCUUCCGGAGGGGCGUAUUUCGCCUCCCCCCGUGAAUAAUUGUGUGGCGCGACGGGCGCAGCAAUCACCCACCCGCCGCACCCCUCCCCGACGAUCAACACCUGGCACUAAUCUCCUGUUUACGAGCGCGUCUCUCUCUCUCUCUCUCUCUCUCUCUCUCUCUCUCUCUCUCUCUCUCUCUCUCUCUCUCUCUCUCUCUCUCUCUCUCUCUCUCUCUCUCUCUCUCUCUCUCUCGCCCUACCACUUGUUGCAGCAAAAACCACGACAGGGUUUGACUCAGGGACAUAAUGAUGCAUGUGAGCAAACACAAACAGCAUACCAUUAGGCCAGGCUACAGCGGGACUCCAACACCUUGGAGCCUGAGAGGCAGUGGCCGCGUCCUCUAGUUGCCAGCAGGCCCACUGUGUGUCUGCCGGGGGCGCGAGGUUGACCACUGCCCUCUCAGUGUAUGCAUAGACAUCGUAUUGCAGGCAACUGCGGAUCGUGUUGUUACAGGGGGGCCAGGGCCCAUACCACGCACUCACACUAAAAGCUUUCGAGGAGAGCAGGUCUCAGCGUGAGGGCGACCCCUGACAUGGAUCUGCUCUGAUUUAGAUUCCCUGCUCUUAACGUGUUGUCCAUCACACCCCGAGCGAGACAGCGUGAGGAGGCACGGGCACGAUGUGACUCAGAUGCUACCGUUUAGCGAAGGCUCCACGCACAGACAGAGCGACAAACACACCGACCCCCUGCGCCAAACCAAGCACACCGUAGCGUCGGAACACAGGAGCCGCACAGAGCACGAGUCAUUCAUGAAUAUUUACACCACAACACUUCCAUUAGGGCACAUUAUGCUGAGUGUGUGUGAGUGUGUGGGCUUGUGUGUGUGUAUCCGUGUAUGGGUGUGUGUGGGUGUGUGAAGUUGUUGAGGAUGGAGUGAGCAGCAGAAGCUGUACAUUUUGAGAGAUACAGAGAGAGAGAGAGAGAGAGAGAGAGAGAGAGAGAGAGGGAGAGCAUGGGGAGGGAUAUCGGAGGUCAAGCCUUACGGGUGCAGAUGGAAACAAGUGGGGAACAAGCGAUAGAGCCUUUUUCCAUGUGUGCUUGCUCAAGGGACUGGUUUGGAGAGAGAGAAGGAGAGGGGGGAGGGAGAGGGAGGGAGGGGGAGGGAGGGUCAAUGGUGCCUUGGGCCUCAGAGGCAUGUCCCCUUAGACAGUGUCCUUCAGUAAUCCUGGCCUGGCGGCCCGAGGUGAGCUCCCAGCGCCCUCAAAGUGGCCGGCCUGAAUGCACAUACAUAGUUAGGAGGGCAAUCGGUCGGUCAAAACAGCCAGCACAGGGAGUCCUGGCUCCCUCCCUCCCUCCCUCCUCUCUCUCUCUCUCUCUCGUUCCCCUUGUCCCUCUCGCAUGUGCGCUCCUGGCAACAAAGAGGCUGUGUUCUGUCUCCGGUUGAUUGGCCGGGCGCUCUGAACAGAGACGCCAUGAGAACUUUGUUGGUUUGUGUGAGGGGAGUUUCCUCUGGGCUCCACACCAAAACACGGCCGUCCGGCCGGUCCUUACGUUCCUCACUGCUUCUCCUGGGUUGCUGCCCCGACUGGCACGUACACACCCACAUGCACGCACAUAUUCACCCACGCACACACACACGCACGCACGCACACACACACACACGCAUGCAACGAUAUGCACGCGUGCACGCACACACGCAUUUGCACACAUGCGCUCACGCAUGCACGCACACACACACACACACACACGCACACACACACACAUACAUCCACCUUCUCCUCGGGCAGGUCCGGGCUCCCGGUCCCACGCAGCUGUCACUCAGACCCUCGGUCCGGACUCGGGUUCCGCUGCAGUGUAGCGUAAAAAAAGCUCUCCCGCACAUUGCUGCGGUGUCCCAGGAUGGGCGGGUGACGUGGGGAGCGGACGGCGCCGCGCUCUGCUUUCGGUUGUGGUGUCGGGUGGCGGGCUCUGGCCCACUCCCGGCCCCUUGGACCGUCACCUGUCCCGGGCCCGAGGAAUGGCGCGACUGACGCGCUUGGUGACGCGGGCACCGACGCGGACAGCAGCUCUGCAUAGCGUUCCCCCCGUCCUGCUCCCCCCUUCUGUGUGUGUGUGUGUGUUUGCGUUUGAGAAAUGGUCUUUCCUCCAUGUAUUUGUCACGUGUGUGUGUGUGUGUGUGUUUGGUGCGUGUGUGUGUGUGCGUGUGCUACGUGUUUGUGCAUGUGUUAGGUAUGUGUGUGUGUGUGUGUGUGUGUGUGUGUGUGUUAGGUGUGUGUGUGCUACGUGUGUGUGUGUGUGUGUGUUUGUCCUCAGGAGUUGUUUGUCACUGGACACCUGCUAUGCGACGAUAAAGAGAGUAAGCGCGAGCCGUCCGGGUGAUUCCUGCUUCUGGGCAAAUGCCUCGAGCUCCAAAUCAACAGAUCCCCCAACAGAUCCCAAAGGAUCCCCCAACAGAUCCCCCAACAGUUCCCCCAAAAGUUCCCUCAAAGGUUCCCCCAACAGAUCGACUAAAGGAUCCCCAAAAGCUCUCCCAACAGAUCCCUCAAAAGAUCUCCCACAGGAUCCUCCAACAGGUCACUUGUCGCGUCUAAUGUUUUAGGGGUCUGAACGGCGGGGGAAAGAGAGUUCUGGCGUGUCCUCCGGACUCCGGGGCGGUCUCGGCCUCUCUCUCUCUGUGGCCCCCCCGGCCGCUGGCCCCCGGGCCCCCAGCUCUCUGCGGUCCGGCCCCGGGUCGGCACCCUCAGAGGGGGCACUGCUCAGAGGUGAAGGAGCCGCCCUCCUUCUUUUUCCUCUUCUUGCGCUUGUGGACGGUCCAGCAGGUGGCGGCCAGCAGCACCAGCAGCAGCCCGGCCCCCAGCAGCACCAGCGACACCACCUUGGUCUGCGGCAGGUCGUUGUAGGUGUAGGUCACCCCCGUGCCCGCCACGCCGAUCACCAGCGAGAUGAUGCCGAAGGGGAAGAUGCACCGGUACCAGGACUUCUCCAUGCCCCCCGUGGCCUGGGACAGACGCUCCAGGGACGAGAGCACGUCCGGCACCCUGGAGGCGCCGGGCUCCAGGUACGGCCCCUCGGGACCCGGCGCCGAGCCGGCGGCGGCGGCGGCGGCGGCCUGGGACGGGGCCUGGCAGGCAGGGCGGCCCGGCCCACAGCCCAUCCUGGGGACGCGGGGCGAAGGGGGCGCCUGGCCACUGCUGGCGUCCCGGAUUCCCUCCGUAGUCUCCGCUCGCCUGGAGAGACAGAAAAGGGAGAGAG